rnacentral:sRNA from 1 species
AAAGAGGUGAUGGUGAAGGCCAUUGACCCUCUAGAGGACACCCCAGCAAUGGAACCCAACCCUUCAGCAGUGGAGGUAGACCCCAUCAGUAAGCCUGAGGUCCCCACAGGAGACAUAGAAGAGGAGAGACCUCCCAGGGACGUGCACUCAGAAAGUUCUCCAAGGAGAAGUACAUCCUGGACUCAUCGCCAGAGAAACUCCACAAGGAAUUGGAGGAGGAGCUCAAACUCAGCAGCACGGAUCUCCGCAGCCAUGCCUGGUACCACGGCCGCAUCCCCCGAGAGUAACCCGCGUCCAUGCCGCCCCUGCAGCCCCUUCUGCCACAGCAUUGCCUGCCUCCCCUGUCGCCCGCCGUUCCAGCGAGCCCCAGCUGUGUCCCGGAAGUGCCCCAAAGACCCAUGGGGAGUCAGACAAGGGCCCCCACACCAGCCCCUCCCACACCCUUGGCAAGUCCUCCCCGUCACCAUCACUCAGCAGCUACAGUGACCCGGACUCUGGCCACUACUGCCAGCUCCAGCCUCCCGUGCGUGGCAGCCGAGAGUGGGCAGCGGCUGAGGCUUCCAGCCAGCAGGCCAGGAGCUAUGGGGAGAGGCUAAAGGAACUGUCAGAAAAUGGGGCCCCUGAAGGGGACUGGGGCAAGACCUUCACAGUCCCCAUUGUGGAAGUCACUUCUUCCUUCAACCCAGCCACCUUCCAGUCACUACUGAUCCCCAGGGAUAACCGGCCGCUGGAGGUGGGCCUUCUGCGCAAGGUCAAGGAGCUGCUGGCGGAAGUGGAUGCCCGGACGCUGGCCCGGCAUGUCACCAAGGUGGACUGCCUGGUUGCUAGGAUACUGGGCGUUACCAAGGAGAUGCAGACCCUAAUGGGAGUCCGCUGGGGCAUGGAACUGCUCACCCUCCCCCAUGGCCGGCAGCUACGCCUAGACCUGCUGGAAAG